rnacentral:rRNA from 1 species
AUGCAGUCGACGAUGAGCCGCUUCGGUGGUGGAUUAGUGGCGAACGGGUGAGUAACACGUGGGCAAUCUGCCCUUCACUCUGGGACAAGCCCUGGAAACGGGGUCUAAUACCGGAUAACACUCUGUCCCGCAUGGGACGGGGUUAAAAGCUCCGGCGGUGAAGGAUGAGCCCGCGGCCUAUCAGCUUGUUGGUGGGGUAAUGGCCUACCAAGGCGACGACGGGUAGCCGGCCUGAGAGGGCGACCGGCCACACUGGGACUGAGACACGGCCCAGACUCCUACGGGAGGCAGCAGUGGGGAAUAUUGCACAAUGGGCGAAAGCCUGAUGCAGCGACGCCGCGUGAGGGAUGACGGCCUUCGGGUUGUAAACCUCUUUCAGCAGGGAAGAAGCGAAAGUGACGGUACCUGCAGAAGAAGCGCCGGCUAACUACGUGCCAGCAGCCGCGGUAAUACGUAGGGCGCAAGCGUUGUCCGGAAUUAUUGGGCGUAAAGAGCUCGUAGGCGGCUUGUCACGUCGGAUGUGAAAGCCCGGGGCUUAACCCCGGGUCUGCAUUCGAUACGGGCUAGCUAGAGUGUGGUAGGGGAGAUCGGAAUUCCUGGUGUAGCGGUGAAAUGCGCAGAUAUCAGGAGGAACACCGGUGGCGAAGGCGGAUCUCUGGGCCAUUACUGACGCUGAGGAGCGAAAGCGUGGGGAGCGAACAGGAUUAGAUACCCUGGUAGUCCACGCCGUANACGUUGGGAACUAGGUGUUGGCGACAUUCCACGUCGUCGGUGCCGCAGCUAACGCAUUAAGUUCCCCGCCUGGGGAGUACGGCCGCAAGGCUANAACUCAAAGGAAUUGACGGGGGCCCGCACAAGCAGCGGAGCAUGUGGCUUAAUUCGACGCAACGCGAAGAACCUUACCAAGGCUUGACAUAUACCGGAAAGCAUCAGAGAUGGUGCCCCCCUUGUGGUCGGUAUACAGGUGGUGCAUGGCUGUCGUCAGCUCGUGUCGNGAGAUGUUGGGUUAAGUCCCGCAACGAGCGCAACCCUUGUUCUGUGUUGCCAGCAUGCCCUUCNGGGGUGAUGGGGGACUCACAG